rnacentral:misc_RNA from 1 species
GCCCAUCAACACUCGGUCAACCUUGUUACAGAGGAAGGACUUGAUGUGGACAAUGGACCUCCGAGCCAGCAAUGGCACGGUGGGCUGAAGUUAAUGGUCGUCGAAUGGUAACAUGAUCGGCGAGUGGUGGGCUAACUGCGCAUGCCAAUCAUUGCUACCAUUUCGCCGUAUGGCCUCUAUACCCCAGUCGUAACGAGGGGAUUGUUGUUGCAGCAUCUUGUUGUUUCACAAUUUCGGACC